GGGAAGGAGCUUCUAGAAAACAAAGUUCCCCCACUUAAUCAAGUUAAUAACCAAAUGGCACAUAACUAUAGUCACUGAAGAAAAAAGAUGAAAAUUACAAAAACAUAUAAAGAAGUAGAAUAAAAGUUAUUCAUAUAAUCAGGACUGAGAGGCCACAUCCCUAACUGUGGACAGUCAUUUGUGCUGCAACAGCCAUGAUCUUUUCAAAUAAAGCUUACAUUUUUAUUUUUUUAAAUUUUUUUUAAGCUUACAUUUUUAAAAGAAACUUUGAAAUUGGAUUUAUCCUAAAGCUUUCCAGAUAAUCCAGUUGCCCAGAUCUUGCAAUUAAUCAUGAAAAUAACAUGCAGAAAACGAAUAAAGCAUGUAGAUGAACGUGGAAACAUCAACUACCCAUCCUACACUAGCCUUGAUUUCAGAACUAAUGAUGGGAAAUACCUUGCUGAUGAAGACUGAUAAUAUCCAAUUCAGGUAUUUCCAUCAGAAAGACAAAGAUUCUCCAAAUCAGAUAUUAUCUACAUGAAGAAGGAGACGCUCAAACGACAAGCUCAGCUCCUGACUAAUUGCCACAAUAAGACAAUGUCUGCCUUUGCUGCUAGAGAGCUAAAUUGGCACACUAAUCAUUGGCAUGAUGUAUCACAUGGAUUUGGGAUACAACAUCAAGGGAUUGAUCCUACUGAGCCCAGCUCCAGAAAUCCAAGCUGUAGAUGUAGUUCUUGCAGUUCAUACCUCCCUUUUUCUCAACACAUGACUCCUGGCAGCACAUCAUUCCAAAAAGGCUGCCUAGGAAUCUGAAUGACAGAAGACACUGUUUUUUGGGUUCUAUCCCAUUAGGUGAGAGAAUCUAGAAAUUCUUGUAAGAUUUGGAAUUUUGAUUUCUAUCACUGUUUUAAAUAACAGUUAAGGAUUAUUUUUCUCUUUUAAACUAUUUCAUGGAUAUAUUAUACAAGAAA